GAUGAACGCUGGCGGCGUGCCUAAUACAUGCAAGUCGAGCGAACGGACGAGAAGCUUGCUUCUCUGAUGUUAGCGGCGGACGGGUGAGUAACACGUGGAUAACCUACCUAUAAGACUGGGAUAACUUCGGGAAACCGGAGCUAAUAUCGGAUAAUAUUUUGAACCGCAUGGUUCAAAAGUGAAAGACGGUCUUGCUGUCACUUAUAGAUGGAUCCGCGCUGCAUUAGCUAGUUGGUAAGGUAACGGCUUACCAAGGCAACGAUGCAUAGCCGACCUGAGAGGGUGAUCGGCCACACUGGAACUGAGACACGGUCCAGACUCCUACGGGAGGCAGCAGUAGGGAAUCUUCCGCAAUGGGCGAAAGCCUGACGGAGCAACGCCGCGUGAGUGAUGAAGGUCUUCGGAUCGUAAAACUCUGUUAUUAGGGAAGAACAUAUGUGUAAGUAACUGUGCACAUCUUGACGGUACCUAAUCAGAAAGCCACGGCUGACUACGUGCCAGCAGCCGCGGUAAUACGUAAGUGGCAAGCGUUAUCCGGAAUUAUUGGGCGUAAAGCGCGCGUAGGCGGUUUUUUAAGUCUGAUGUGAAAGCCCACGGCUCAACCGUGGAGGGUCAUUGGAAACUGGAAAACUUGAGUGCAGAAGAGGAAAGUGGAAUUCCAUGUGUAGCGGUGAAAUGCGCAGAGAUAUGGAGGAACACCAGUGGCGAAGGCGACUUUCUGGUCUGUAACUGACGCUGAUGUGCGAAAGCGUGGGGAUCAAACAGGAUUAGAUACCCUGGUAGUCCACGCCGUAAACGAUGAGUGCUAAGUGUUAGGGGGUUUCCGCCCCUUAGUGCUGCAGCUAACGCAUUAAGCACUCCGCCUGGGGAGUACGACCGCAAGGUUGAAACUCAAAGGAAUUGACGGGGACCCGCACAAGCGGUGGAGCAUGUGGUUUAAUUCGAAGCAACGCGAAGAACCUUACCAAAUCUUGACAUCCUUUGACAACUCUAGAGAUAGAGCUUUCCCCUUCGGGGGACAAAGUGACAGGUGGUGCAUGGUUGUCGUCAGCUCGUGUCGUGAGAUGUUGGGUUAAGUCCCGCAACGAGCGCAACCCUUAAGCUUAGUUGCCAUCAUUAAGUUGGGCACUCUAAGUUGACUGCCGGUGACAAACCGGAGGAAGGUGGGGAUGACGUCAAAUCAUCAUGCCCCUUAUGAUUUGGGCUACACACGUGCUACAAUGGACAAUACAAAGGGCAGCGAAACCGCGAGGUCAAGCAAAUCCCAUAAAGUUGUUCUCAGUUCGGAUUGUAGUCUGCAACUCGACUACAUGAAGCUGGAAUCGCUAGUAAUCGUAGAUCAGCAUGCUACGGUGAAUACGUUCCCGGGUCU
rnacentral:rRNA from 1 species